rnacentral:rRNA from 1 species
UACGAAGGGGGGCUAGCGUUGUUCGGAAUCACUGGGCGUAAAGCGCCACGUAGGCGGAUCUUUUAAGUCAGGGGGUGAAAUCCCCGAGGCUCAACCUCGGAACUGCCUUUGAUACUGGGGAUCUCGAGUCCGGGAGAGGUGAGUGGAACUGCGAGUGUAGAGGUGAAAUUCGUAGAUAUUCGCAAGAACACCAGUGGCGAAGGCGGCUCACUGGCCCGAUACCUGACGCUGAGGUGCGAAAGCGUGGGGAG